rnacentral:rRNA from 1 species
GACGAACGCUGGCGGCGUGCUUAACACAUGCAAGUCGAACGGAAAGGCCCUGCUUUUGUGGGGUGCUCGAGUGGCGAACGGGUGAGUAACACGUGAGUAACCUGCCCUUGACUUUGGGAUAACUUCAGGAAACUGGGGCUACUACCGGAUAGGAGCUCCUGCUGCAUGGUGGGGGUUGGAAAGUUUCGGCGGUUGGGGAUGGACUCGCGGCUUAUCAGCUUGUUGGUGGGGUAGUGGCUUACCAAGGCUUUGACGGGUAGCCGGCCUGAGAGGGUGACCGGCCACAUUGGGACUGAGAUACGGCCCAGACUCCUACGGGAGGCAGCAGUGGGGAAUAUUGCACAAUGGGCGGAAGCCUGAUGCAGCAACGCCGCGUGCGGGAUGACGGCCUUCGGGUUGUAAACCUCUUUCGCCUGUGACGAAGCGUGAGUGACGGUAAUGGGUAAAGAAGCGCCGGCUAACUACGUG